rnacentral:misc_RNA from 1 species
GAAUUCAAGUUUUCGGCGGAUCAGGAGUGGAUAAAUGGGAUUUCUACGAACAGUCGAC